CUAGUCCGACUUUGUGAAAUGACUUGUGAGUUGUAGAAUAAGUGGGAGUCGUUUUCAGCACAAGUGAAAUACCACUACUUUUAACGUUGUUUUACUUAUUCUGUGGGGAGGAGACGAGGCAUUGAAGAUAUGUUAAAAGAUAACACACAUUUCCUCAAAGUGUUGUCAUUGAUGGAAAUGG
rnacentral:ncRNA from 1 species